CAAACUUGAGAGUUUGAUCCUGGCUCAGAACGAACGCUGGCGGCAUGCCUAACACAUGCAAGUCGAACGAGACCUUCGGGUCUAGUGGCGCACGGGUGCGUAACGCGUGGGAACCUGCCCUUAGGUUCGGAAUAACAGUUAGAAAUGACUGCUAAUACCGGAUAAUGUCUUCGGACCAAAGAUUUAUCGCCUUUGGAUGGGCCCGCGUU
rnacentral:rRNA from 1 species